GUGGGGAAUCUUAGACAAUGGGCGCAAGCCUGAUCUAGCCAUGCCGCGUGAGCGAUGAAGGCCUUAGGGUUGUAAAGCUCUUUCGUGGGGGAAGAUAAUGACUGUACCCCAAGAAGAAGCCCCGGCUAACUCCGUGCCAGCAGCCGCGGUAAUACGGAGGGGGCUAGCGUUGUUCGGAAUUACUGGGCGUAAAGCGCACGUAGGCGGACUGGAAAGUCAGGGGUGAAAUCCCAGGGCUCAACCUUGGAACUGCCUUCAAAACUCCUGGUCUGGAGUUCGAGAGAGGUGAGUGGAAUUCCGAGUGUAGAGGUGAAAUUCGUAGAUAUUCGGAGGAACACCAGUGGCGAAGGCGGCUCACUGGCUCGAUACUGACGCUGAGGUGCGAAAGCGUGGGGAGCAAACAGGAUUAGAAACCCGAGUAGUCC
rnacentral:rRNA from 1 species